UGGAAGAUACAAAGGAUCAGGGAUUGGUAUAUAAGAGAUCAGGGUUUACAGAUACAUGCUCAGUGGGUUUAAAGCAGAGGAAAGAUGAGAAUCAUUGCUAUCUUACUGUUUGUGUUCGUUUGUGUUAGUGUGUGUAUGUCUGCAGCUCCGGGCUGGUCGAUCUGGAAGAACGGGAUGUGGGAUAUCGAAGACGCAGAUAAUGAUAAUAUCCCAGGAGUUGGUGGAGUAGAUUAUCCGAUUAAAGGACAAAAAGAUCUUUGUGCUCUCAACCCAACCAAUCCUGGAUGUUAAGAGAAUUUCCCUUCGUUAAAAAAACAUUUAGUGAGACUGCACUGAUUGCUAUAUUCCAUAUCACGUGAUAUCCCUAGAUAAAGAUAAAUAUAAAAUAACCAGUAGCAGAGGUAUUCCCACUAAUCCUGGUUACUAGAAGAGCUAUAACCCCAACAACACCUGGCAAGGUUGAGCUAAACAAAACUGUGCAUGCUAAAAGAGCUAAUCUGACCAAACCUGGCUUUUAGCAGAGCUAUCACCACCAACCCAUGGCUGCUGAAAGAGCUAACCUCGCCAAUCCUGGCUUUCAACAAACCUAACACCACAACCCAUGGCUGCUAGCAGAGCUGACUUUAACCAAUCCUGGCUGCUAGCAGAGCUGGAAACAAACCAACUUAGGCUGUUAACAUAGCAGACUUCCAUCAAUGCUGACUUAUAGGCGAGCUGUAAAAAAACCUAGACUGUUAGCAAAGAUAAAUCCCACCACUUUGGCCACUAGCAGAACUUAAAUCACCAAUUAAAGGCUGUUAGCAAAGAUAAACCCACCAAUUCUGGCUACAGCCUACAACCAGAGCUAAACAUAGAGCUGACUUCAACCAAUUCCCCCAUUAUAGGCUGCUAGUAGAGCUACCACCAAUCCUAACUGUUUUCAGAGCUGAACCAAACCUUUUUUAAUGAUCUGACUUAUUUUAUCUGAAAUAUGUAUUUUGUCCUGCUUUUUAUUCCAAUAAAAUGCUGACAUUA